AGAGUUUGAUCAUGGCUCAGAUUGAACGCUGGCGGCAUGCCUUACACAUGCAAGUCGAACGGCAGCACGGGAGCAAUCCUGGUGGCGAGUGGCGAACGGGUGAGUAAUAUAUCGGAACGUGCCCAGUCGUGGGGGAUAACGCAGCGAAAGCUGUGCUAAUACCGCAUACGAUCUCUGGAUGAAAGCGGGGGACCGCAAGGCCUCGCGCGAUUGGAGCGGCUGAUAUCAGAUUAGGUAGUUGGUGGGGUAAAAGCCCACCAAGCCGACGAUCUGUAGCUGGUCUGAGAGGACGACCAGCCACACUGGAACUGAGACACGGUCCAGACUCCUACGGGAGGCAGCAGUGGGGAAUUUUGGACAAUGGGCGCAAGCCUGAUCCAGCAAUGCCGCGUGCAGGAUGAAGGCCUUCGGGUUGUAAACUGCUUUUGUACGGAACGAAACGGUCUGCCCUAAUACGGUGGGCUAAUGACGGUACCGUAAGAAUAAGCACCGGCUAACUACGUGCCAGCAGCCGCGGUAAUACGUAGGGUGCGAGCGUUAAUCGGAAUUACUGGGCGUAAAGCGUGCGCAGGCGGUUAUAUAAGACAGAUGUGAAAUCCCCGGGCUCAACCUGGGACCUGCAUUUGUGACUGUAUAGCUAGAGUACGGUAGAGGGGGAUGGAAUUCCGCGUGUAGCAGUGAAAUGCGUAGAUAUGCGGAGGAACACCGAUGGCGAAGGCAAUCCCCUGGACCUGUACUGACGCUCAUGCACGAAAGCGUGGGGAGCAAACAGGAUUAGAUACCCUGGUAGUCCACGCCCUAACGAUGUCACUGGUUGUUGGGUCUUCACUGACUCAUUAACGAAGCUAACGCGUGAAGUUGACCGCCUUGGGGAGUACGGUCGCAGGGUUGAAACUCAAAGGGAUUGACGGGGACCCGCACAAGCGGUGGAUGAUGUGGUUUAAUUUCGAUGCAACGCGAAAAACCUUACCACCUUUGGACAUGUACGGGAAUUCUUUAGAAGAUAAAGGAGUGCUCGAAAAGAAAGCCGUUAACCCAGGUGCUGCAUGGCUUGCUCGCUAGCUUCGUGGA
rnacentral:rRNA from 1 species